rnacentral:rRNA from 1 species
GGCCAGACUCCUACGGGAGGCAGCAGUGGGGAAUACUGGACAAUGGGGGGAACCCUGAUCCAGCGACGCCGCGUGAGUGAAGAAGUAUUUCGGUAUGUAAAGCUCUAUCAGCAGGGAAGAAGAUGACGGUACCUGAAUAAGAAGCCCCGGCUAACUACGUGCCAGCAGCCGCGGUAAUACGUAGGGGGCAAGCGUUAUCCGGAUUUACUGGGUGUAAAGGGAGCGCAGACGGCAGUGCAAGUCUGGAGUGAAAGCCCGGGGCCCAACCCCGGAACUGCUCUGGAAACUGUGCGGCUAGAGUACUGGAGGGGCAGGCGGAAUUCCUAGUGUAGCGGUGAAAUGCGUAGAUAUUAGGAGGAACACCAGUGGCGAAGGCGGCCUGCUGGACGAUGACUGACGUUGAGGCUCGAAAGCGUGGGGAGCAAACAGGAUUAGAUACCCCGGUAAAA